GACGAACGCUGGCGGCGUGCUUAACACAUGCAAGUCGAACGCUGAAGCCUAGCUUGCUGGGUGGAUGAGUGGCGAACGGGUGAGUAACACGUGAGUAACCUGCCCUCUUCUUUGGGAUAACGCCCGGAAACGGGUGCUAAUACUGGAUAUUCACUGAUUCUCGCAUGGGGGUUGGUGGAAAGGUUUUUUCUGGUGGGGGAUGGGCUCGCGGCCUAUCAGCUUGUUGGUGGGGUGAUGGCCUACCAAGGCUUUGACGGGUAGCCGGCCUGAGAGGGUGACCGGUCACAUUGGGACUGAGAUACGGCCCAGACUCCUACGGGAGGCAGCAGUGGGGAAUAUUGCACAAUGGGCGAAAGCCUGAUGCAGCGACGCCGCGUGAGGGAUGGAGGCCUUCGGGUUGUAAACCUCUUUCGCUCAUGGUCAAGCCGCAACGCUGGUUGUGGUGAGGGUAGUGGGUAAAGAAGCGCCGGCCAACUACGUGCCAGCAGCCGCGGUAAUACGUAAGGCGCCACC
rnacentral:rRNA from 1 species